UAUUUCGCGUAUUUACACAUCAAUUUACACAGUUCGUCUAAGCAACAUUUACAAGGUUAUUUCUGAAUUGUUUUCCUUGGAUAAAGUAAUCUGUAGUCAUCUUUUCUGGCGUCUGCAGACUAUUUAAACACGAAACGAUCUGAGGAAAAUGUUGAAGUCGUUCAAACAUGGACGGCCUGAUGGAGGACAGUGAAGUGGAGGAGAAACAUCAUGUCACAAUUGGAGAAAUGGACCAGGAAUGUUUCAUCUGCGGUCAGUGUGGAAAUAGUUUCACAUGUAAACAGAGUCUCGAGGAUCACAUGAAGCUCCACACUGAAGAGAAACUGCAUGAAUGUGAUCAAUGUGGCAAAACAUUUUUGAGGGCUUCAGGCCUGAAGAGCCACCUGACAGUUCAUUCACAGGAGAAACCACAUUCAUGUUCUUUGUGUGGAAAGAGUUACAAAGGUAAAGACGGUCUCAAGGUUCACAUGAGGAUCCACACUGGAGAGAAACCGUUCACAUGUGAUCAGUGUGGGAAGAGUUUUAGACAAUCAUCAAACUUUAAGGAACACAUGAACAUCCACACUGGAGAAAAGCCAUACGAAUGUGAUCAAUGUGGCAAAACAUUUUCGAGGGGUUCAGGCUUAUACAACCACAUGAAAGUUCAUUCACAGGAGAAACCAUAUUCAUGUUCUUUGUGUGGAAAGAGUUUUUCACAGCUGCAAAGUUUAAAAGCUCAUCAGAAAAUACAUACUGGUGUAAGAGAUCAUAAGUGCUUGGAGUGUGGGAAGAGUUUUGUUACAGCUGAACAUUUGAAACUUCACUGGAGGUCUCACACUGGAGAGAAACCUUACAAGUGUUCAUACUGCGACAAGAGAUUCAGACGGACGGGACAUCUGAAAACACACGAGAUGAUCCACACUGGAGAGAAACCUUACACUUGUGAUCAGUGUGGGAAGAGUUUCACUCAAAUAUCUUCUCUACUUAGUCAUAGAAAAUACAAUCAUAAGUAGAUCUUCUUCAGAUCCAGCGCUGUCAAGCGUGAAGCCACAUCCUCACUGAACGUGACACAAUAAUACCAUUGAGCGAUAAAAUCUCUUUUAUUUACUGUAAAUCUGUCCUAACCAGCCACAACGAAACAUCUCUAAAUUUGUCACAUUGAAUAAAGUUCAUAAUUCAAAACCAGAAGUUUCAACUGUGAGAUUCAGAUGGACAAUAUCUAGAUGUUUUAUUUUUGUAUAUCAUUUUGCUUUAUUAUGAGUUAAAUGAAGGAAAUUCAAAGGUUUUUUUUAUUAAACUUCUUGAUUUUAGUUUAGAGUUGUUUUUUUUUUUUUUGUAGAGAGAUCAGUCUCAUUAGUUAAUAGUUUGUGUUUGCUGUAUCGCAUGUGUUUGUAGUGGGAAGUUCAAAACAUUUUACUGACUAGUUCACCUCACCUCUGAUCCAGUAAUUAAUAGGAAGACACAAGAGAAAUAAAGUUACUAAAGCAUACACUGAAUCCAUAUCAUAUUCCCAUGCUUAUUUAUAUCUCUGAUGAGGAUUGAUACUUCAGUCAACAAAUAUCAAACAUUAGAUCUUUUUGUGAGGAUGAAGAGAUCCCUGUGAAUCAACAGGAGAAAGAUGGAAAGAUCUCUGCGUAUCUCGUUGAAUUACGACACUGAGGUACACAAAUAUAAGAAGGAUGUUUUCUUUCAUCUCUGAUAGACCACCAUCUUCUUUUAAUUAAAAAAAAAAAAACAAACAUUCAUUAUACCCUGCCAAAUUUCAUAUUUAAGUUUCUUCUUGCACCAAAUUUAAGUGUCACUAAGACCGGAAGGGAAGGAAGUAACCAUGCCAUAAUUUGAUUUCUUCAUUUUCUGAAAAGGACUUAACUUUUGGUAUAAUAAUGGAAGAUGGACAAAUUCAAUUUCUACUGAACAAUAUUUUUAUUUUGGGGAAAUUUUAUAUUCAUAAAUGUAAUUGUCAAAGCCAUUUUCUGUUUUUCAAAAAUAAUUUUGGAUUUUCUUUCAUCUAUAAGAAUUGUAAAAUUGAAAAGUUGAAGUAGACUACUUGGUUUAUUGAAGAAUUUUAAACUAUUAGAAAGACCCUGAUGUCUAAUAUUAUAAUUAUUAUUAUUAUUUUCAUUUUUAUUUAUGUUUCCUUUCUAUUGAGUUGUGGUCUGUUCUUUAGUUAUUUUAUGUGGUUUUGUACUGCCUUUUUGUAAUUGUGUUUUCAUGCAAUAAAAAAUGUUCACCGGCGCCAUCUUAUGCACCAAGUCCAUACAGUAGGUGGCGGUAAUACGUCUAAGGAGUGAGCGGCCAUUAACCAGACGAAGAAGAAGCAUCGCCGCUCUGACAUCAUCAGUAGUUUCUUCGCUUGUUCGGUCAUCGCGUUUGUUGUGUCUUCUGAGGCCUGAUGGAACAGAGUGAAGUGGAGGAGAAUCAUCAUGUCACAACUGAAGAAAGAGAUGAGAAAUGUUUCAUCUGCGGUCAGUGUGGAAAUAGUUUCACAUAUAAACAGUGUCUCGAGGAUCAGAUGAAGAUCCACACUGAAGAGAAACCGUUCACAUGCGAUCAGUGUGGGAAGAGUUUCACAGAACAAGAAACCCUUGAGGAUUACAUGAUCCAAACAGGAGAAAAACUACUUGAAUGUGAUCAAUGUGGCAAAACAUUUGUGUGGGCUUCAGCACUGAAGAUCCACCUGAAAGUUCAUUCACAGGAGAAACCACUUUCAUGUUCUUUGUGUGGAAAGAGUUUAAAACACAAACAGAGUCUCAAGGUUCACAUGAUGAUCCACACUGGAGAGAAAUCAUUCACAUGUGAUCAGUGUGGGAAGAGUUUUAGACAAUCAAACAACUUUAAGGAACACAUGAGGAUCCACACUGGAGAAAAGCCAUACGAAUGUGAUCAAUGUGGAAAAACAUUUUCGAGGGCUACAGGCCUAAACUCCCACCUGAACGUUCAUUUACAGGAGAAACCACAUUCAUGUUCUUUGUGUGGAAAGAGUUUUUCACUGCUGCGGCAUUUGAAAGAACAUCAGAAUAGACAUACUGGUCAAAGAGAUCAUAAGUGCUUGGAGUGUGGGAAGAGUUUUAUUAGAGCUGUAGAUCUGAAAAUUCACUGGAGGUCUCACACUGGAGAGAAACCUUACAAGUGUUCACACUGUGACAAGAGAUUCAGACGAUCAGAACAUCUGAAAACACACGUGAGGAUCCACACUGGAGAGAAACCUUACACUUGUGAUCAGUGUGGGAAGAGUUUCACUCAAAUAUCUUCUCUACUCAGUCACAAAAAAUACAAUCACACUGCAACGAGCAACAGGAAAAAGAAGCAUCUAAAUUUGUCACAGUGAAUAAAGUUCAUCUUCAAGACCAGAAGUUUCAACUGUGAGAUUCAGAUUGACUCAAAGAUGGACAGUAUCUAGAUGUUUUAUUUUUGCAUAUCAUUUUGCUUCAUGGUAUAAAUGAUAUCAUGCGUUAUUAUGAGUUAAAUACUAUGUUAAAUUUUUAUAAUGCAUAUGUAUCACUUGUAGUUUGUUUAUACUUUUAUGAAGGAAAAUGGAAGUUUUUCUUAAAUUAAACUAGUUAUUUUUAGUUUUCUUUCCUCAUUUGUUUACACUUUGUAUUUAUUUCACCAGGUAACUUUUACUGUCCAUUUUUUGUCUACUUACUCUUCUUGCAUGAAUAAUAAUGUAGUCAUUUUAGUAACAUAUAAAAGCCAUUAAAAUAUUGUGCUUUGGGCUAUAAA